rnacentral:tRNA from 1 species
UGGUCCAUAGCUCAGUGAUAGAGCAUUUGACUGCAAUCAAGAGCUCACUGGUUUGCUCCCCGUUGGGCCCU